rnacentral:rRNA from 1 species
UACGUAGGUGACAAGCGUUGUCCGGAAUUAUUGGGCGUAAAGAGCGUGUAGGCGGUCCGGUAAGUCAGCUGUGAAAGUCAAGGGCUCAACCCUUGAAUGCCGGUUGAUACUGUCGGGCUAGAGUCCGGAAGAGGCGAGUGGAAUUCCCGGUGUAGCGGUGAAAUGCGCAGAUAUCGGGAGGAACACCAAUGGCGAAGGCAGCUCGCUGGGACGGUACUGACGCUGAGACGGCGAAAGCGUGGGGAGCAAACAGG